GCCUUAGGAGGCAUAUGUACGACUGAUAAGUUGUUCAGAUCUUCAUGUGCAUAGUUUUUCUCUUUUUAUUGACUUGAGAUCAGUCAAGCUGUUUCAGUAUUUCGGCAUGUUGUUCUCGGCUGACGAUCAUCUUUUUUUUCCCGUGAAAAUGUAUAGGGUUCGCAGAGCUGUCACCGCUGUUCGGCACACUGUUGCACCAGGGGCAAGACUCUGGCAUGAGCAUGCCUCCACAAGACUGCAGCAUGACGGAUCAGAUGACUCCACAUUGUUUCGUGCAGUCAGUACCCCAUAUCACACUGACGGGCAGACAGCAGUUGCAUCACUUUCUGCUAAAGAACAAGCCCUGUUCUCUCACAUCGCAGACAAAUGUUCACAACUCGGCGAGUGGUGCGUAUUCCAUCACAUUCUGGACAGACUCGCAGAUGGUGGAGAAUUUGGAGGGCUGCAUUGACGAUCCACUCAACUGUGUGCACAGUGCCCAGAUGCCAUCUUGCUGUUAUAGCUAUGGUGUUUAUGUGACUUUCGCAUUUGAGUUUCUGAUGAACGGUGAUCUCCAGGAUGUUAACACUGGAGGACUCUUGUAUGGUACUGCCAUUGAAAGUCAGGUAAGGGUCCAGUGCAGAUCUCUCUUAUUACCUCCGCCACCGAAGGUGAAGGAGGUUAUGUUUUCACGCCUUUCUGUCUAUUUGUUACUUGCAAAAUCGAAGAUUUUUCAAGUAUAUUGGUCAGUCGAUUUUGUAAUUCUGUCUGUCUGUUUGUCUGAUUAUCACCUACAGGUCACAAUUUUAAACCAAUCUUCACGAAACUUCACCACAUGGUCGAGUUUGUUAUAAGGAAGAAACCUAUUAUUUUUGAGGUCAAAAGGUCAACAUAGACCAAAGGUUUGUUGCAGCCAAAAUGGGCUUGCUCCUCAUUUUCAGCUGUGCUUGGUGCUGCUUGUAGCAUAACUUUUAAAAGGCACUCUUCACUGAACCAAGCUUGGGUUCUUGGUUUGAUUGUGAUGGAGGAGUGAGGUAUGUACCUGGUCAUAAAGUUGCAUAAUGUGGUUGGAUACUUUUCUGCUGCUGUUAAUGGUCCACAGUACCUCAUGACGGAUUCCCAGUUUUAGGUUGCCACCUCUGUUCCUCAUAUGCCCCACUUGACAUCAUGUUUAUACCACACCACCUGAUGGAUAUUUUUUAUUUCAUUGAUGCAUAUCAGAAUUUGCCUUCACAAGUACAAUACUGUGGUUGCUCUUUUCAUUGAUGUCUUUCCAAUUCUGCAACAGGUGAGUUUGUCAAGCAGUUUGCAUCAUAUUAGUUAUUUUGCAACCCAAAUGCAGGCCCGGUCUGGAAAUCAUAUCCUUCAGGACUUUGCCAGGUCAUUUGGUUUGUCUUUUUGAGCUAAUCAGGUGACCACAAAGCAUCUUAUAGUGCUCUACACAGUACAUCAUCAUCAUCAUCAUCAUCAUCAUCAUCAUCAUCAUCAUCAUCAUCUUAUGGCCGUUUCCAUGUAUCCAUAUACAUAUAUAUGAAUAUAUGUAUGUAUAUGUGUAUAUUGUUGCGGUCUUCGCGCCCG
ensembl:lincRNA